UAGGGCCAUAUCACAUUGAAACAUUGGUUCUCAUAUGAUCACCAAAGUUAAGCAGCAUCGAACUUGGUCAGUACAUAGAUGGGUAACCACUUGGGAAUAAAAG